UGCCCAUUGGCCCAGCGGUCAAGGCGUCUGACUGUUAGUUCAAUUCAGUUUGUUCCAGCAGAAUAUCAGAAGAUCCCUGGUUCGAUCCCAGGAUGGGCAG
rnacentral:tRNA from 1 species